ACCUGCCCAUUGGAAUCUAAAAGGCCGCGGUAUUAUGACCGUGCUAAGGUAGCAUAAUCAUUAGUCUUUUAAUUGAAGGCUGGUAUGAAUGGUUGGACAAGAAAUAAGCUGUCUUAAAUAAAAAUAUUGAAUUUAACUUUUAAGUGAAAAGGCUUAAAUUUUCUAAGGGGACGAUAAGACCCUAUAAAACUUUAUAUUUUAAAAUAAUAAUUAAUUUUAUAUAGAGGAUUUAUUUUUAAAUAUUUUAUUGGGGUGAUAAAGAUAAAAUGUAAGAUAACUGUCUUUUUUUUUUUACAAGUAAUAUUUGAGUAAAAGAUCUUAACAAAGGAAAUAAGAGAUUAAGUUACUUUAGGGAUAACAGCGUAAUUUUCUUUAAGAGUUCUUAUCGACAAGAAAGUUUGCGACCUCGAUGUUGAAUUAAAAGUUCUUUAUAGAGUAGAUAUUAUAAUAGAGGGUCUGUUCGACCCUUAAAAUUUUACGUG
rnacentral:rRNA from 1 species